CUUAACACAUGCAAGUCGAGCGGUAACAUUUCUAGCUUGCUAGAAGAUGACGAGCGGCGGACGGGUGAGUAACGCGUAGGAAUCUGCCUAGUAGUGGGGGACAACAUGUGGAAACGCAUGCUAAUACCGCAUACGCCCUACGGGGGAAAGGAGGGGAUCUUCGGACCUUUCGCUAUUAGAUGAGCCUGCGUGAGAUUAGCUAGUUGGUGGGGUAAAGGCCUACCAAGGCGACGAUCUCUAGCUGGUCUGAGAGGAUGAUCAGCCACACUGGGACUGAGACACGGCCCAGACUCCUACGGGAGGCAGCAGUGGGGAAUAUUGGACAAUGGGCGCAAGCCUGAUCCAGCCAUGCCGCGUGCGUGAAGAAGGCCUUAGGGUUGUAAAGCACUUUCAGGAGUAAGGAAGGGUGUACGGUUAAUACCCGUAUAUUUUGACGUUAACUCCAGAAGAAGCACCGGCUAACUCUGUGCCAGCAGC
rnacentral:rRNA from 1 species